AGACCUGUCUCAGUUCGGAUUGGAGUCUGCAACUCGACUCCAUGAAGCUGGAUUCGCUAGUAAUCGCGCAUCAGCCAUGGCGCGGUGAAUACGUUCCCGGGCCUUGUACACACCGCCCGUCAAGCCAUGGAAGCCGGGAGUGCCUGAAGUGUGCAACCGCAAGGAGCGCCCUAAGGUAAAACUGGUGACUGGGGCUAAGUCGUAACAAGGUAUC
rnacentral:rRNA from 1 species